rnacentral:sRNA from 1 species
GCCGGGUGCUAUGGCACAUGCCUGUAAUCCCAGUUACUGGGGAGGCUGAGGCAGGAGGAUCAUAAGUUUGAGCCCAGCCUCAACAACUUACUGAGGCCCUAAGCAACUUAGCCAGAUCCUGUCUCAA